GACGAACGCUGGCGGCGUGCUUAACACAUGCAAGUCGAACGGUGAACGAGGGAGCUUGCUCCCUCCGGAUCAGUGGCGAACGGGUGAGUAACACGUGAGCAAUCUGCCCCGAACUCUGGGAUAAGCGUUGGAAACGACGUCUAAUACCGGAUACGACGCGGGAGGGCAUCCUCUCCGCGUGGAAAGAACUUCGGUUCGGGAUGAGCUCGCGGCCUAUCAGCUUGUUGGUGAGGUAACGGCUCACCAAGGCGACGACGGGUAGCCGGCCUGAGAGGGUGACCGGCCACACUGGGGGUGAGACACGGCCAAGACCCCUACGGGGGGAAGGGGGGGGAAAUAUGGCACAAUGGGCGCAAGCCUGAUGCAGCAGCGCCGGGGGAGGGAGACCGGCCUUCGGUUUGAAACCCUCUUUUAGCAGGAAAAAAGCAAAAGGGACGGUACCUGAAAAAAAAGCCCCGGCUAACUACGUC
rnacentral:rRNA from 1 species